rnacentral:tRNA from 1 species
GAGGAUAUAGCUCAGUAGUAGAGCACAUGCUUAGCAUGCAUAAGGUCCUGGGUUCAAUCCCCAGUACCUCCA